GAUGAACGCUAGCGGGAGGCUUAACACAUGCAAGUCGAGGGGUAACAUGAGGUAGCAAUACUUUGAUGACGACCGGCGCACGGGUGAGUAACGCGUAUGUAACCUACCUUGUACAGGGGGAUAGCCCGGAGAAAUUCGGAUUAAUACCCCAUAAUGAUAUCUGAAGGCAUCUUUAGGUAUUUAAAGUUUCGACGGUACGAGAUGGGCAUGCGUGACAUUAGCUAGUUGGUAAGGUAACGGCUUACCAAGGCUGCGAUGUCUAGGGGUCCUGAGAGGGUGAUCCCCCACACUGGAACUGAGACACGGACCAGACUCCUACGGGAGGCAGCAGUGAGGAAUAUUGGUCAAUGGGCGUAAGCCUGAACCAGCCAUCCCGCGUGAAGGAAGAAGGCGCUAUGCGUCGUAAACUUCUUUUCCGGAGGAAUAAAAUUUCGUACGUGUACGGGACUGAAGGUACUCCGGGAAUAAGCAUCGGCUAACUCCGUGCCAGCCGCCGCUGUAAUAC
rnacentral:rRNA from 1 species